AUCUAUGGCCAUACUACCCUGAACGUGCCUGAUCUUAUCUGAUCUCAGAAGCUAAGCAGGACUGGGCCUGGUUAGUACUUGGAUGGGAGAAACUACAGUGUUGUGAGUG
rnacentral:rRNA from 1 species